AACGAACGCUGGCGGCAUGCCUAACACAUGCAAGUCGAACGAAGCCUUCGGGCUUAGUGGCGCACGGGUGCGUAACGCGUGGGGAUCUACCCUUUGGUUCGGUAUAACAGUUGGAAACGACUGCUAUUACCGGAUGAUGACGAAAGUGCAAAGAUUUAUCGCCAGAGGAUGAGCCCGCGUAGGAUUAGCUAGUUGGUGUGGUAAAGGCGCACCAAGGCGACGAUCCUUAGCUGGUCUGAGAGGAUGAUCAGCCACACUGGGACUGAGACACGGCCCAGACUCCUACGGGAGGCAGCAGUGGGGAAUAUUGGACAAUGGGCGAAAGCCUGAUCCAGCAAUGCCGCGUGAGUGAUGAAGGCCCUAGGGUUGUAAAGCUCUUUUACCCGGGAUGAUAAUGACAGUACCGGGAGAAUAAGCCCCGGCUAACUCCGUGCCAGCCGCCGCAGUAA
rnacentral:rRNA from 1 species